rnacentral:rRNA from 1 species
AUUGAACGCUGGCGGCAGGCCUAACACAUGCAAGUCGAACGAGUGGCGGACGGGUGAGUAAUGUCUGGGAAACUGCCCGAUGGAGGGGGAUAAAUACUGGAAACGGUAGCUAAUACCGCAUACCAUCGGAUGUGCCCAGAUGGGAUUAGCUAGUGUGUGGGGUAACGGCUCACCUAGGCUACGAUCCCUAGCUGGUCUGAGAGGAUGUCCAGCCCCUCUGGAACGUAUAACCGGUCCAGCCUCCUACGGGAGGCAGCAGUGGGGAAUAUUGCACAAUGGGCGCAAGCCUGCUGCAGCCAUGCCGCGUGUAUGAAGAAGGCCUUCGGGUUGUAAAGUACUUUCAGCGAGGAGGCGUUACUCGCAGAAGAAGCACCGGCUAACUCCGUGCCAGCAGCCGCGGUAAUUC